GGGCUCGUAGUCGAGUGGUAAGACGCCGCCUUCACAAGGCGGAGAUCCGGAGUCCGAUUCUCCGCGGGCCCA
rnacentral:tRNA from 1 species